UGCUAUUCAAAUUAAUAUAAUGGAAAGGAAUAAUUCAAUCUCACUUUUUUUAAUUAUCAACAUUACUCUAUUUAAGGGUAGUUAUAUUACUAAAGGAAUAACUUUGUAAGGUUAAAUCUUCAAAUCUAACAAGAUAAUGUUUUACAUUACCAUUUUCUUGUUAGCAUUAACCCAUUCCAAACAGUCCAUAUGUUUAUUGAUAAGCAAUGAGAAUCAACGGAAAGGGAAUCAUUCUUUUACAUUUGUUUAUUUAUGGCGCAUUUACUAAACUGUAAUUGGAAUCAGAAUAAUUAAUAGGAGAAAUGUAUCGGCUUAAGAUAGAAAAUAAUUGAAAAUAAUAUUUUAUUAUGCUGUUUCCUAACUGUCCGUAAAGAAAAUCAAAAUCAUAUUAUUUUGUUUACAUAACUAUAUGCCGUGUAAAAUAUUUGGAUUUCUUAAUUAAAAGCUAAUUUUAGUUUUAAUAAUUUAAAUUAGUUAAAAUUUUAAUGAAAGUAAUAAAAAUUCCUUUGAAAUUUAAAUGGUAACAAAGAAGAGUUAGUAAUUUUUUUUAGGCUAAUUAGCAAUUUUUUUCUUGAACUUUAACAUAUACCAAAUCAUGCCCCCCUGAACUUUUUUGGCCGUUAAAAAUUCCUCCUGAACUAUUGAGAUUGUUAAAUUUAAGGACUUUUGUCUAAUUUCAUUCAAUUUUACUGUUUCAAGUACUAAAUCAUGCUCCCCAGACUUUGAUAUCUACCAAAUCAUGCCCCUCAAACUUUUAUAUGUAUUAAAUCAUACCCCUUGAACUUUCAUCCAUAUUAGAAUUUUUUUACUAAAAUUAGAUAAAAGUCCUUAAAUUUAACAAUCUUAAUAGUUCAGGGGGAAUUUUUAACGGCCAAAAAAGUUCAGGGGGCAUGAUUUAGUACAUGUCAAAGUUUAGGGGGAAAAAUUGCUAAUUAGCUUUUUUUUUUUAUCAUACACUAAAGAAUCUGCGAAUUCAAAUUGUAAAAAGAAUUAUUGAAAUAAUAAAUUUUAACUAAGGUGUAGAACAUGAUUUAAGUAAGAUUAAGAAAAAAAAUAUACUCUAUUUUAAAAUUUUAUCUUUUUUAGCUAAAAUUUGUGCAAAAAAAUAAAGAGUGCCCCAAUUCUAAAAUAAACUUAAAUAACUAAAAAUAAAUUUAUGACUUAAACUAAAUAAUUAUAUAUCAUAAAUAACUUUUUUAUAUUGGUUGUAAAUAUUACAUUUUAAAAUAAUAAUAAUAAAAAAAAUUAUGACAACUCAAGGUUUCUCCAAAUGUAAAAGAUCUUAUUUGGCAAGCAACUUUAUAUUAUUUGCCUACUUGGUAGUAAGAAAAGGGAAAUUUCACUAUUUAGCCCUAAUAAAAUAACACAUAUCAAAUUUUAUACCCCUUACUAAUUUGUACAAAAUAAUUCCACUAUUUUCAAAUUCUACCUAAAAUACCCCUUACAUUUAAUUUUCCCACUGUCUCUUUCCCUCUCUCACUCUCUGUCUUUCCAUUUCUCUCUCCGUCUUUCCCUCUUCGUCUCUGCCCACGAAACGAAAGAACCCAACAACCCAACCCAACCCGACCACGACCACGCAUACGCCAAACCCAACAACCCUCUUCGUCCCACUCUAUCUUUCCUUCUCUCUAUCUAUCUUUAUUUUUUCCUAUUUCUCUCUCUCUCUCUCUCGGUCGAUCUUGAAUUCGACCCGUGCUCGUCGAAACCACCACGAACCGUCGCCACCACCACUACUCGUGCUUGUCGAAACCGAACAUAGGCCAUUGCCACCACAACCACGAACUGUCGCCACCACCACAAAGCUCAGUCAAAGAUGGCUCCCAGACUCAUAAUUCCAGCAUCCGAGCAUUUUACUGGCCGUGUGACAUAUAGAGGCACCGGAACUUUUACAAAAAUCAAGGCUCGGUUUGAGGAGUACAAUUUGAAUAACAUGGCGAAGGAAAGCCGUUUCAACAACUUUUGGAAUGUCGUACCUGUAACACCCUAACUAUCUUAGGCGUAUUACGUGAUUUUUAAACGUACUGUGCAGCUCGUUGCUAAUCAACGAGGUUUAUGGAAAAACGUGAUUAAUUAAAAUUUUGCUUUUUCAUUAAA